UGCCGUUGAGUCUCCUCUAUAAAUGGAUAAUAUUUUGGUCUUAAAGUAUACUAGUUUUUGAAAGUAAAAGAGCAAUAUCAACUCUGCUGAUAUUGCUCUUUUACUUUUCAGAGUCUUUUUUAUACAUUUUUUUAUACAUAAAUUGUAGAUUUAUUAUAACACUCUUUAGCAUUCUUUAUUUCAACAUAAGAGAUAAAAAAAUUGGAGUUUCAUAUUUUCGUAUUUCGGAAUGUAAACAAAAAAAUAGAAGAAAAAAAAGAAUCCGAACGAAACAGUACAAAUUGAAGUCUCAGUAAUUUUCACAUAAGAUAGGGGCGGAUGUAGCCAAGUGGAUUAAGGCAGUGGAUUGUGAAUCCACCAUGCGCGCCUGUGUGAAAUUGUUAUCCA
rnacentral:misc_RNA from 1 species